UUACGGCCCUAUCAGGUUGACACACCAGUUCACGUACGAUCGCCGAAGUUAAGCAACAUUGAGCUUGGUCAGUACCUAAAUGGGUGACCGAACGCGAAUACCAGAUGUUGUAAG